GUCUGUAUGAAGUUAUAUGAAGUCUGACCUGCCCAUUGAAUAAUUUAAAAGGCCGCGGUAUAUUAACUGUGCAAAGGUAGCAUAAUCAUUAGUUUUUUAAUUGAAGGCUUGUAUGAACGGUUGGACAAAGGAUAAUCUGUUUUUAUUUUUGUUUUUGAAUUUAACUUUUAAGUGAAAAGGCUUAAAUAAAUUUAAGGGACGAUAAGACCCUAUAAAUCUUUACAUUUAGUUAUUUUUUUAUUAAUUUAUAAUGUAAAUAAGAAUUAAAUAAAUAAUAUUUGUUAUAUUGGGGUGAUAAGAAUAUAAAAAUUAACUGUUCUAAAUUUGUAAUCAAAGUUGUUUGAUAAUAAUAGAUCCUUUUUAGAGAUUAAAAGUUUAAGUUACUUUAGGGAUAACAGCGUUAUUUUUUUUGAGAGUUCAUAUCGAAAGAAAAGUUUGCGACCUCGAUGUUGAAUUAAAAUUUCUUUAUGGUGUAGCAGUUAUAAGAGAGAGUCUGUUCGACUUUUAAAUUUUU
rnacentral:rRNA from 1 species